UACAGAGGGGCAAGCGUUAUUCGGAAUUAUUGGGCGUAAAGGCGCGUAGGCGGCCUGGCAAGUGGAUGGUGAAAUCCCUCGGCUUAACCGAGGAACUGCCAUCCAGACUGCUUGGCUUGAGACCGGGAGAGGUGAGUGGAAUUCCUGGUGUAGCGGUGAAAUGCGCAGAUAUCAGGAAGAACACCUAUGGCGAAGGCAGCUCUCUGGGACGGUACUGACGCUGAGACGCGAAAGCGUGGGGAGCGAACAGG
rnacentral:rRNA from 1 species